rnacentral:lncRNA from 1 species
GAGGGAUCAAACUCCCCGAACACAAUUACCUGCAUUUCUAGUUCCUCACCAACAAAUGUUUCACCUCAAGCCUCUGUCUCUGCUCCUGUUAUGCAGGUGAUAUUUAGCUUACCUAGAUAAAAUAAUGUCUAGAACUAGUUAUGUUUACUCGCUUCUAUGAUUAAAUUAUUAAAUCAUCCAAAAUGCCUUACACAGAGGUUAUUCAACUUCGAAGCCAAUCAAGUUGUCCAGUGUGUAGACCAACAGUCUACUUUGGGUAUUGAGCAAACGCCCCAUGCUGAAGUUUACCAGAAUCCUAACUUCUAUACAGAUCAACAUGGCUCGCCAAACCAAACUCAAUUACUCCAGGUAACGUAUUAUGCUUUACUUUGUGAUGCACUCUGAAACAUGUGCUUUUUGUAAUAGACAAGGAGGAUAUUCUCUAUGCAGGACAAGCCUUUAAUUCAUGGCACAUAACAUGAUUCUGUGUCAAACUACUGCCAGCUGAGGCAGGUAUAUGCAAUGAAGUGGGAACCUGAAUAAUCAUCAUUAGUUUGGCUGAUUAUUUGUCAUCUCCGUCAAACUCGGAUCUCUAAUCUGCUUGUGUUGUUUCCCACUUGCUGGCUAUGGAACUUGACAUUCAACCUUCACAUUCAUCUUCAUUUUUGCUUUAUGAUGACCGAGAUAGAACUUAUUGACAUUCCAUUUCUUGGGCCCAAAGGGAAG